rnacentral:rRNA from 1 species
GAGUUUGAUCAUGGCUCAGGACGAACGCUGGCGGCGUGCUUUACACAUGCAAGUCGCACGCUCCGCCCCAAUUUGACCUUCGGGUCAUAUUGGGAUUACGGAGAGUGGCGGACGGGUGAGUAAUGCGUGGAGAAUCUGUCCUUAAGUCUUGGAUAACCUGGUGAAAGCUGGGCUAAUCCGGGAUGCUCUUAAUCGAAGACAUCUUCUUUUAAGGAAAGAUGUGGUUUCACAUCGCUUUUGGAGGACUCCGCGUCGGAUUAGCUAGCUGGUAGGGUAACAGCUUACCAGGGCUACAAUCCGUAGCUGGUCUGAGAGGACGAUCAGCCACACUGGGACUGAGACACGGCCCAGACUCCUACGGGAGGCUGCAGUGGGGAGUCUUCCACAAUGGGCGCAAGCCUGAUGGAGCAACGCCGCGUGAGUGAAGAAGGCCUUCGGGUCGUAAAGCUCUGUCCUCGGGGACGAAACACAGUGAUAAUAAAUGAUCACUGUCUGACGGUACCCAAGGAGGAAGCACUGGCUAACUACGUGCCAGCAGCCGCGGUCA